UGCCUACGGGAGGCAGCAGUGAGGAAUAUUGGUCAAUGGUCGGGAGACUGAACCAGCCAAGCCGCGUGAGGGAUGAAGGUACGGAGUACCGUAAACCUCUUUUGUCAGGGAACAAAGGCGGGGACGUGUCCCCGGAUGAGUGUACCUGAAGAAAAAGCAUCGGCUAACUCCGUGCCAGCAGCCGCGGUAAUACGGAGGAUGCGAGCGUUAUCCGGAAUGAUUGGGCGUAAAGGGUGCGCAGGCGGUCCUG
rnacentral:rRNA from 1 species